rnacentral:rRNA from 1 species
AGUGAACGCUGGCGGUAGGCCUAACACAUGCAAGUCGAACGGCAGCACAGUAAGAGCUUGCUCUUACGGGUGGCGAGUGGCGGACGGGUGAGGAAUACAUCGGAAUCUACUUUUUCGUGGGGGAUAACGUAGGGAAACUUACGCUAAUAUCGCAUACGACCUACGGGUGAAAGCAGGGGAUCUUCGGACCUUGCGCGAUUGAAUGAGCCGAUGUUGGGUUAGCUAGUUGGGGGGGUAAGGGCCAACCAAGGCGGCGAUCCGUAGCUGGUCUGAGUGGAUGAUCGGCCACCCUGGAACUGGGACACGGUCCAGACUCCUACGAGAGGCAGCAGUGGGGAAUAUUGGACAAUGGGCGCAAGCCUGGUCCAGCCAUACCGCGUGGGUGAAGGAGGCCUUCGGGUUGUAAAGCCCUUUUGUUGGGAAAGAAAAGCAGCAGGUUAAUACCACGCUGUUCUGACGGUACCCAAAGAAUAAGCACCGGCUAACUUCGUG